GCGGAGGGAUCAUUACCAGUUUACAACUCCCAAACCCCUGUGAACAUACCUAUACGUUGCCUCGGCGGAUCAGCCCGCGCCCCGUAAAAAGGGACGGCCCGCCCGAGGACCCCUAAACUCUGUUUUUAGUGGAACUUCUGAGUAAAACAAACAAAUAAAUCAAAACUUUCAACAACGGAUCUCUUGGUUCUGGCAUCGAUGAAGAACGCAGCAAAAUGCGAUAAGUAAUGUGAAUUGCAGAAUUCAGUGAAUCAUCGAAUCUUUGAACGCACAUUGCGCCCGCCAGUAUUCUGGCGGGCAUGCCUGUUCGAGCGUCAUUUCAACCCUCAAGCUCAGCUUGGUGUUGGGACUCGCGGUAACCCGCGUUCCCCAAAUCGAUUGGCGGUCACGUCGAGCUUCCAUAGCGUAGUAAUCAUACACCUCGUUACUGGUAAUCGUCGCGGCCACGCCGUAAAACCCCAACUUCUGAAUGUUGACCUCGGAUCAGGUAGGAAUACCCGCUGUAACUUAAGCAUAUCAAUA
rnacentral:rRNA from 1 species